rnacentral:lncRNA from 1 species
GCAAAGGAUUGUCUCUGAAAAGAGUAUGAGUCAUACCAAAUAACUUGGAAGGGUCAUACUGUUUAAUAGGAGAAAGCAUAGAGGCAAAAGGAUGAUAAGUUGGACCGAUGGAAGGGAUAGGAGGUGAAGUGGUGAAAAGGGUAGGUCUCUGUUUUUCAGAUUCAAUCUGAGCAAGUUCAGCUUUUAAGCAUCUGAUUUCCCUUUCUUUUUGGUCAAAUUCGGGGCCUGAGUAACGAUGGGCAAGCAUGGCUCGUAACUCAGAGUCAAGUUGAGAAAUUCUGGACUGGAGGUUUUGGUAUAUCUGCUGCAUCUGUGCAGUGAUGGAGUCAACUUUUGUCUCAAUCUGUUCAGUUCACAAACUGAUGUUCUCAACUCUUGAAUUGAGAUGCAACAAAGUAUCAUUUUGUGCCCUGGCAUUUUGAGUUUGCCAGUUGAGGACAGAUUCAAAAGGUUUAGGGGGUUCCAGGUGGCUAGUGGAUGUAAUAGGUGAAGGGAUAAAGGGUUUUGACACAACAUUUCGUUGGGGAUCUGUGUGGGGUUCCAAAGAAGGAAAGGAAGAGGAGUAAUCGGAAGAGGUAGAGGAAAACAUCAUACAAGCUAGUGGUUGGACGAUAGGUGUUGAGUGUGAGAGGGGUGAUGGAAUCUCAGAUUUACAAUGUUUGGCAAUCCAUUUGAGUUCUUUUCGGUAGAUGGGUAAUGGAGCUAGUGGAGGUGGAGGAUCUGAUGGUGGUUUGGGGUCACAGUGGUGACAUGGGACAGGAGGUUUUUUCUUUUUGGGUUUCUUUUUCCGUGUGGUUGCAUAAUCAUCAUCUUCUUCCCAAUCAUCCCAGCAGGGACAAUUUGGGUCACACAUGCCGGAACCAGGGGCAUCCCAUAGGAAAUGGCCAUUGUGUUUGGCUGGAUAAACAGGGUAACCUUCAGAAUUAAACCCUGUAAUGGGCAGAUCUUCCUGAGCUGUCUGAACAGCUGUGAUCAUGGAGGAAUAAGUAAAGGAGAGCCGAGGAGGCUCUUGUGGAGCACUGGGAGGUGGUUUAAAAGUCAUUCUGACUGUUCCAUCUUGUCGUCUUUCAAACAUACUUUCGGAUGUCUGAAUGGGAGCUGUAUUAUUAUGGAACUGUUCAUAGUUAGAGAUCCAUUCAAGAGGCAUAAGCUUGAUGAGCUCAUGACGAGGAAUUUGUCGUGUGAUCUGGAUGAUUGUCGGGAUCUGGUCAGAUUCUGCUAACACCAUGAGGGUGUCAGAGUGGUGUUCUGGUGUGGGUAGAUCCAAGGCAUGAUUUUGAAGCCUAUAGACCAGUUGGUGGUGUAAAGUGGCAAUUUUGGCAGAAGAAAUUUGUUCAGCACCUUGAAUUUGGAUUUGGACCUUCAAGGUUGUAGGCAAGUUGGGAUCUUGGAGAGAAAGGUUGAAGUUGGGAUAGAAAGUGAGUAACACACUUCCUGCAUGGAGGGUGGUAAGGACAGUGCCAAUAACAGCAUCUUGGUACUGUUUAAACCGGGUAUCAAGCAUAGCAAGGCGAGCUGUAACCGGUAAUCCUUUUCUCCCAUGAAGGGUAAGGAUUAAUCUGAUGCCUCCAAGAUGGAGAUGAGUGUAACCUUCUCGUUUCCAGUUGGAAAUCAACUCUAAGGGUAUUUCAAGAGUGACAUAUUGCUCAGCAGGGGUUGCUUGGAGUGAACACUGAUCCAGGCGAGAAGACUGGAUAUAUUCUUUAGGGUGAGGUCUUCGGGUGGAUAUGAGAGUACGGAUACUGCGAGUAAAAGAACUGGGGCGUUUAUAUAGAUGGUAAGGGCUGAGAAGAGGGUAAGAAGAUUCACUGAUUUGGGCGGAUUCAGGGAUGUAGGAGUAUUCUAUAAGGUUUUCAAUUUUGUUGGCAGUAUGAGAAGUGCAAGAUUUUGGUAAGGAAAGAGGAGAAGAAAGAGUAACAGGAGUAGAAGGAGUCGAAGAUGAAGUGGAAGCCAUGAAUGAGAAAUUCUCUCUGCGUCUGAAGUCUAUGGAGCAAAAAAGAAUAAAGUCAUAAAUUAUACCAUUUUGAGCAUGAAAACAAGAGUUUAGAAAACAAGUUUCAAGGAACGGUAUGGCUCUGAUACCAGUUUACACUCAAAGGUUAUUUUACAAGGUUCGUAAACAAAUUUGCAAAGAAGACCAGUUUAUAUUGUCAAGCAAUGUCACUCUUCUAGAUAUUCUUCAAUGAUCACAGCUGUUCAGACAGCUCAGGAAGAUCUGCCCAUUACCCUGUUUAUCCAGCCAAGCACAAUGGCCAUUUCCUAUGGGAUGCCCCUGGUUCAGGCAUGUGUGACCCAAAUUGUCCCUGCUGGGAUGAUUGGGAAGAAGACGAUGCUUAUGCAACCACAAGGAAAAAGAAACCCAAAAAGAAAAAAAACAGGAAACUCGUGUUUUCCCUUACAAUAUGAAUCCCUAAACCUCUUCUCUCUCUCUGUAAAUGAAGUUCUAAGAAAGAAAAAGAAUAAAGGAUUAAAUUUGUUCAUUUUGAAAACUUAAGGAAGUAUGCUCUGCACUUGCCUUCCAGUAAGGAUCCUGUGCAUCAGAAAACUUUUGAUCAUUUCUUAUCUGGUUUGGUACCCUGUUUUAGACUAAAGCGAAGUAUGUUUUGGGUUGUAUAACCUGAGAAAAAUGUUUUAAAGGUUUUUGAUUACAGAGGUAUAUCGGUUGGAAACUCGAGCUUGCGGACUACUGGUCCAAAGGACAGUCUUAACUGUUGUAGUUCUGGUAUAACAACGCCACGUAUCUUUAUGGUAUCACAGCGACUAGGCAUUUACAAGCAAACAAGAAGUGGAUUGUGGUUUAUAAUCCAAAACAACAACAUUUUGAGUGCUCCUGUAAGAAGUUCGAAUCAAUUGGAGUACCCUGCCCUCACUUAUUUUGUGUGAUGAAACAUAUGCAUGUUUGUGAGAUACCUACUUCAUUGAUUAACAAAAGAUAGACAAUGGAUGUGAAAGUUUACAGACAAUCUCCAAUGCCGUUGGAAAGUCAAUCUAGGGACGUUCUUAACAAUUUUCGGUAUGGGUCACUAAAUGCAGAAUUUAAUGAAAUUUGUUUUAUGCCUCAAAAUCUGAUGCUGUGUAUUGGAAAUUAAAAAGUCAUCUUGCUCAACUUAAAUAAAGUAGUUGAGAACAAGUGAUGAAAGAGAUAGAAAUAGACCAUUCAGUGCAGAAAAGAAAGCAAGAAUUAUAAAAGAUCCUCUUGUUGUAAAGACAAAGGGUGCACCUAAUACAGACGUUAAUAAAGGUGUUAACUCAAGAAAAUAUGGAUAUUGUAAACAAGAUGGACAUACCGUACGGAAAUGCCCAAGUAAGAAUGGUCAUGUUACAAGCGUGGCUACCUUGGCCGGACCAUUAAACAGAUUCACAUAAUUUAUUUGGUAUGGGCAAAUAGGUCAUUAUUUCUAUUUUUUUUUUUUUUAGUGGAAAUCAUUAUGUUGUAUUAAAAGUAGUUUUGUUGAAAUUUUAUGCAGAUUAUCUUAAGGAGGCUGCCUCACUUGUGUCACUGCAUAAAAAAUUAUAGUGAAAUAAUCUACAUAUGCCUAAGGGAGUGAAUUUGGACAAGCUAUUUGCAUUUUAUUAGACACAAUUUUGACCAAUUAUUUUUUAGACUAUGGUUACGGCCAUGUCAUGUACUCUUAUAUUUUAUUGCACUACUAGAAUAAUUAUGAAUAUUACACCUCUCAUGAACCUAUUAGUUUCUCCUAUUUUGAUGAUAAUGUAAUAUGAAAGAAACCUUGAACAAUGUGAUAUUCAUGAAAUUUUAAACUUACAGAAAAGGGCGUAAAAAUGAUAUUCUAAAUCUUAACACACCAAGUAACAGAAAUCAGUGUAGUUUGCCGAAACCAUGUUGAACAUCACAAAUGUUGAACAAAACAUGUGUAGUUUCUUAUACGUGAAUGUUGGUGUUUGAACGGAAAUUAUUACCUCAAGUUUAAAAAAAUAUUCCCUUCGUGAGCCUAAUAUAACAAUAUGUACCUUAUUUAAUUAACACUUGAAGAGAUCACACGUUCAAAUAGAUUUUGAGCCCAUUUCAAGUUAAAAAAAUUAGAAAUCCAAAGUCUUUGAUGACUCUGUUCCAGUGCAGAGAAGCAUAGCUCUGAUACCAUAAAGAGAACCAUAAAGAUACGUGACGUUGUUAUACCAGAACUACAACAGUUAAGACUGUACUUUGGACCAGUAGUCCGCAAGCUCGGGUUUCCAGCCGAUAUACCUCUGUAAUAAAAAAUCUUUAAAACAUUUUUCCUCAGGUUAUACAACCCAAAACAAACUUCUCUUUAGUCUAAAACAGGGUACCAAACCAGAUAAGAAAUGAUCGAAAGUUUUCUGAUGCACAGGAUCCUUGCAAAAGGCAAGUGCAGAGCAUACUUCCUUAAGUUUUCAAAAUGAACAAAUUUAAUCCUUUAUUCUUUUUCUUUCUUAGAACUUCAUUUGCAGAGUGAGAAGGGAGAAUUUAGAAAUUCAUGGAAGAAAACACACGAGUUUUUAUUUCUAGAAAACUUCUAUAUCUUACAAGGAGGGGAGAACUCUUUACAUAGGAGAAUUCUCGGAAGAUAGGACAGGACCCCUAUCUUUUACAAAAGCAAAAGCAAAAGAUACAUCAUGACACAACUUUAAUUAUUACAAAAGACAAAAGAUGCUUUAAUAAUUAAAGCAUGAGUUUUGACAAAAGCAAAAGCAAAAGCUUAAAGUAAAAGCAAACUGCAAUAAUUAUAUAAGACAAAAGCAUAAAGCAAAACAUAAUUAUUACAACAAGACAAACUACUUUAUGGAGAGAGGAGAUUCAUGUAGUCGUCUUCAAAGGAGCUUUCUGUCUCAUCUGGGUCCGUAUCACCAGAGUGAGGAUGCUUUUAGAAGAAAGUUUUGGAGAACUUUGGAUGCUUACAGAAGGGACCACGGCAUGGUGGAUAAGGGCAAUUAUAGUCUCUGGGAGUACACUUUGGAGUAUACUUAGGGGAAGUUUGGGUGGCUUUGUCAACUUUGGAUGGUUGAGCUGGUCGUUUGGAAGAUUAGGUUGAGGGUCCUGAUUCAGAGGGGCCAGGUUCAUCCAUUGUUGGUUGGGGAAACUGGUGAAGGUGUUGGCUUAGAGGAAGGAAGUCUUCCCAUGGGUCUUGGGAGUCCUGGUAAAGGAAGUCAGUGUAGUCUGGGCGUUCUUCUUUAAUGAUGAUACCAGUGGACUUAGGUUUAGAUAUGGUAGAUGGAGUGGGGAUCAUGAGGAGGUCAUGUUGAGGACCUAAGGAGGUGUGGGAGAUAUCUUUAAGUGGCGGAGGUUGGUGGUUUAAUUGACAAAGGUAGUUGUGCAGGACGUCUUGAAUGUCAUUUUCAAUGACAGCUAUAUAUGGUGCAGUGAACCAUUCAUAUACCUGAUCUUGAGUCCAAAAGAGUUUGGUGUCUGGAUGUUGGAAGUAUGGCCUGUGAAUAAUAAAGACUGAUGUGAACAGUUGUGCUUCAGGGGCAGGCAUACGAUCAAGGUUGUAAAUUUCUGACAGUUGUUGCAGUUUCUUUCUCCACCAUGGGAUGGUGGAGAACCAUUCAAGUAGUGUCCAGGUAAGAGAAGUAGCAUUGUCUGGAUUAAGAAGAUGCUCCAAAGUAGGAGAAAUGGGAAGGAUCAGCUUGGUUGCAUAAAGGACUGUUAGGCACCAGAUGUACCAUAACACAUCUUCAGUGGUGUCUCUGGACGGAUCAAGGGUUAAACCUGUAAGGAACAGAUUUUCUGGGUGGAAAGUGGAAAAAGGAAAAGGGUCUGUGACAAGGUAGACUUUCAUGAAAAAGCGAAAGAGAGCUUUUCUAGCAAAUUCUUGGAUGACAAAAACAGAAGAGAAGUUUUUAUUGAAGGGAAAAGUUUUCUUGGUGAGAGCUUCUGGGGGUAGUGAAGUAGCCAUGGAGAUAAUUGGAAAAUGGUAGGUAGUGGAGAACAGGAUGAGAGGAUUUUCUGGUUUUGAAAGUCUGGAAAGCAUAUCAGGGAUGAGGUUCUGGGAUCCCUUUAUAUGCUUGACAGAAAAGUCAUAUUUAGAAAACCAAUCUUUUAACCUGAGUAACAUUUUUUCAGGAACAGUUUUACCUUUGAAAUUGAGAAUAUUGGGGAAGGCUGAACUGUCCAUUCGGAUAAGAAAAUGGUGUCCAAUCAAAUGAUACUCAAACUUUUUGAUGCCAUUCUUUACCGCUAAGAUUUCUUUGAACACGCUAUGGUAGUGCUUCUGUGUGUCAGAAAAAUGUCCACUAGUGUGAGCGAUAAAGUGGUCUUGGUCAUUGAGUUCUUCGAGGAGGAUGGCACCCCAUGAUCCAUCACUUGCGUCUGUCUGGAGGAUGCGUUUUCCAUCAGUAAUCAACUUUAAAGGGGGCGGAUUUUGCGCGAUCUGCUUUAGGGUAGUGACAGCAAUUGUGUGGUCAGCAUUCCACUCUGGGGGGUUCUUUUUCAAUAAAGCCGAGAGAUGAUGAGUGUAAUGAUCCACAUGUGGGAUGAAAUCACGGAUGUAAUUGAUAAUGCCGAGAAACUGUUGAAUUUGCCUUUUGGAAAGUUGCUGAUCUGGAAAGUGAAGCAAUUCUUGGGCAAUGUGCUUUCCUGGCUGAUAGUGUCCAUCUUUGAUGACCGUACCAAGGAAUUAAAUGUUGUUUGUAGCAAUGGUGCUUUUCUUGGCCGAUAACAUGAUUCCAUGACUUUGGAGAAUAUCAUAGAAUUGAGUUAACAGCUGGCAAUGUUCAUCAUGUGAGCCUGAAAAAAGCAAGAUAUCAUCAAUGUAAAUCAAUGCAUGAUGCAAAAUGGGUUGGAAGAUUUGGACCAUGGAUUUUUGAAAAAUAGAUGGGGCAGUUUUGAGACCAAAGGGUAGGACGGUCCAUUGAAAAUGGGCAUUACGAAUACAAAAAGCGGUUUUGUAACGUUCGGAGGGUUCAAUGCCUAGUUGCCAAAAACCAGAUUUUAAAUCAAAUUUUGAAAAGAUCUGGGCAUUUUUGAGAAAAGUGAACAUGCUUUGUCGGCGAGGUAAUGGGAAUUUGUCAUCUUGCAAAAACAUGUUUAAUAGCUGGUAGUCAAUGACUAAGCGUUUCUUUCCUCGGACAAUUUCAGAAUGUUUUUCAACAUAAAAGGCUUGGCAAAGCCCAUUGAGAACUUGUGGGCUCAAUGAGACCUUGGGCUAACAAUUGUGAACAUUCUUGUUGGGCUAGGAGUAAGUCAGAAGGACUCAUUCCUGGAUGAGUAGCUUUGGUCGGGUUGAUGUCUUCAUUUAGUUUGAAGGAUAACUUAAUGAAGAAAGACUUAUUUUUCCACAAGGGGUUUGGAUGGGUGAACUCAGAAUGGGACUCUGGACAGAAACUCAAAAGUUUGGUUGAAAUAUCCUGGUAAGACUGGGGAGUUUCAGACAAAUUGUAGAGUUUCAGAAUAUUUGUGAAUGGUUUGAACAUGGACUUGACUCGGAUUCCAGUGGGAAUGAUUUGGAGGUGUUGGAUCUGGUGAAGGAUGUCAAAUCCUAACAAGAUAUCUUUAUUAGGAAGAGUUGAACCAAUAACCUUGGUCCAAAUGACACAAUUUGAGAAGAUUUGAAUGUCAAUGGGCUUCUUGGUAAUCAAAGAAGUGGUGAGGAGUUUGCCAUUGACAGCUUUGAAAUGUUCUUCAAACUGGGUCAAAUAUUCUGAUGGAAGAAUAUUGGGGUUUAACAUGCUGCAUUGGGCACCAGUAUCUAUAAGACCAAUUGCGGGAAUGGGCCUUUGGAAUUUUAAGGACAAGAUCUGGAGUUUGAUGGAUGGGAUAGGAACUAUAGUGUCAAGGGAGAGUAACUGUUGGUGGAAAAUUACUUGAGACUGGUCACUGUCUGAGUCAGAGGAAUUCUGUAGUGCGAACAUUGUUUCAUCAUUGGGUUCAUCUUGUUCAGAGAAAUAGAAUUCCAGUUCAUCUUUGGCAGGAGAGUAGUCUGUAGUUGCUUGAAGAUGCUCAACUAACCGGAUGGAUUUUUCUCUUUUGUUGGGACAAUCUUUAGUAUAGUGGCCUUUUCUCUUGCAGAUGAAACAUCUGCUUGAUUGCUUUCGUUUGAAUUCUCUGGAGGAGGAAGAUUUCUUUCUGAAGAACCGGUAGGGCUUUCGGGAUCUGCGAGGUUUGGAUGAAAAUUAUGGAGCUUUGAAUUUCUGAAAAUGCCGUUUUUUCUUUGAACUGCAAUCGCAAUCCUUUUUCUUGUGGCAUUUGAUCUGUAAAUAAGGCUUUUUGCAAGCACUUCGGAAAGGUUCUUUGUCUUUCAACAGUUCUUUGAAAAACUAUUUUUGCUCGCAAAGUUUGUCAAGACAAGUUUUGGCAAGCUGGAAGAUUUUGCCAAGAGAGAUGUUGUCUAGGGAAAGAUUGGAUGCUGUGAGUUGUCUUUGGAUGUCAGGUUGGAGUUCUUCAGGGAGGGAAGCCAGAAAGACAUGCUUUAAUGUUGGUUCAUUGAAUCCAUUAAGCUUAUAGAACAGCAGGGACAUUCGCUUAUAAUGGAAGUCAAGAUCCUUAGCAUUGAGGGAGCAGCAUUUCAUGUUGAGAUAGUCUCGUCUAGCAGCUUCAAAGACUGCAGAAGGGUCGCCAAGGAAUUGAUCAUGAAGUACAGCAAGAGCACUUGAAACUUCUGGAAGGUCAACAAACUGUAAUUGGUGAUAUUGUCCUAACGAAUCAAACCAAUCUCUUAGAGCACCCGUGAAACGAGUAGCAAAUUCUCUAAGGACUGAUUGAGUUAUUGCGCCUGGUCUUAGCAUCUGGAGGUCAAUCCAGGCAGACAUCUCAGUGAGUCGGUCACGCCAUUUAUGAGAUGGAAGAUCAUCAAAUGUGAACCAUGGGCCAUUUGACGAUUUUUGGCUAGAUGGAUUGGUCUGGGUUGGAGGAGGGUGGUUUGUGGCAGAAGAUUCAUGCAUUUCGUCUUCAACUUCAGAGGGAAUAUCAACAUAUGGUUCUGUAUGGGAGGUUUGGCCUUGGGUAGGUGGAUCAGGUUGAGCCAUCAGGAUUUUGGUAAUAUCAGCAUAAGACUUUUCAGAGUCACUGGUGGAUGCUGAAGAUUCUGUAUCAGUUUCGGUAGAGCUAACUGAAACAGCUAGAUUUGAAUCAGAAGUUUGAUCGUCUGUAGUAGAUGAAUGGGUGACUGUGUGAGCAGUAAAUUGGUUCAUGGGUUCUCUAUCCUUGGAUUGGGUAGGGACUGAUAAUGGAGCUAGCGGUGAUGUCGAUGUAGAACUAGGAGAUGGUUGGCCAAGGAUGGUCAAUGAGGAAGGAUGAAGAGGGACAGGUCGAGGCUGCGGUCUAGGUUUGGGUUUAGGUUUAGGUGGUGGUGGCAAAGGAUUGUCUCUGAAGAGAGUAUGAGUCAUACCAAAUAACUUGGAAGGGUCAUACUGUUUAAUAGGAGAAAGCAUAGAGGCAAAAGGAUGAUAAGUUGGACCGAUGGAAGGGAUAAGAGGAGAUGUUGUAAAAAAGGUAGGUCUCUGUUUUUCAGAUUCAAUCUGAGCAAGUUCAGCUUUUAAGCGCUUGAUUUCUUUUUCCUUUUGGUCAAAUUCUGGACCAUUGUAUCUGUGGGCAAGCAUGGCUCGUGACUCUGAAUCGAGUUGACCAAUUCGGGAGUGAAGAUUUUGGUGGAUCUGCUGCAUCUGUGCAGUGAUGGAAUCAACUUUUGUCUCAAUCUGUUCAGUUCGCAAACUGAUGUUCUCAACUUUUGAAUUGAGAUGCAACAAAGUAUCAUUUGGUGCCCUAGCAUUUUGAGUUUGCCAGUUGAGGACGGAUUCAAAAGGUUUAGGGGGCUCCAGGUGGCCAGUGGAGGUAAUAGGAGAAGGGAUAAAGGGUUUGGACACAAUAUUUCGUUGAGAAUCUGUGUGGGUUCCAAAGGAGGAAAGGAAGAAGAGUAAUCGGAAGAGGUAGAGGAAAACAUCAUACAAGCUAGUGGUUGGACGAUAGGUAUUGGGUGCGGGAGUGGUGAUGGAAUCUCAGAUUUGCAAUGUUUGGCAAUCCAUUUGAGUUCUUUUCGGUAGAUGUGUAAUGGAGCUGGUGGAGGUGGAGGUGGAGGAUCUGAUGGUGGUUUAGGGUCACAGUGGUGACCUGGGACAGGAGGUUUUUUCUUUUUAGGUUUCUUUUUCCUUGUGGUUGCAUAAUCAUCGUCUUCUUCCCAAUCAUCCCAGCAGGGACAAUUUGGGUCACACAUGCUUGAACCAGGGGCAUCCCAUAAGAAAUGGCCGUUGUGCUUGGCUGGAUAAACAGGGUAGCCUUCAGAAUUAAACCCUGUAAUGGGCAGAUCUUCCUGAGCUGUCUGAACAGCUGUGAUCAUUGAGGAAUAAGUAAAGGAGAGCCUAGGAGGCUCUUGUGGAGCACUGGGAGGCGGUUUAAAGGUCAGUCGGACUGUUCCAUCUUGUCGUCUUUCAAACAUACUUUCAGAUGUCUGAAUAGGAGCUGUAUUAUUGUGGAACUGUUCAUAGUUGGAGAUCCAUUCAAGAGGCAUAAGCUUGAUGAGCUCAUGACGUGGAAUUUGUCUGGGGAUCUGGAUAAUUGUCGGGAUCUGGUCGGAUUCUGC